AGAGUUUGAUCCUCGCUCAGAUUGAACGCUGGCGGCAUGCCUUGACACAUGCAAGUUCGAACCGGUAACAGGUCUUCGGAUGCUGACGAGUGGCGAACGGUAGUAAUACAUCGGGAACGUUGCCCAGUCGUGGGGAUAACGAAGCGAAAGCUUUGCUAAUACCGCAUACGAUCUACGAUUGAAAGCAGGACCGCAAGGCCUUCGCGACGGAGCGGCCGAUGGUCAGAUAGGUAGUUUGGUGGAUAAAAGCUUACCAAGCCGACGAUCUGUAGCUGUCUGAAGAACGACCAGCCCACACUGGGACUGAGACACGCCCAGACUCCUACGGGAGGCAGCAGUGGAAUUUUGGACAAUGGGCGAAAAGCCUUAUCCAGCCAUGCCGCGUGCAGAUGAAGGCCUUCGUGGUUGUAAACUGCUUUUUACGGAACGAAACGACUCCUUUAAUAAAGGGGGUCCAUGACGGUACCGUAAGAAUAAGCACCGGCUAACUACGUGCCAGCAGCCGCCGGUAAUACGUAGGGUGCAAGCGUUAAUCGGAAUUACUGGGCGUAAAGCGUGCGCAGGCGGUUAUAUUAAGACAGAUGUGAAAUCCCGGGCUCAACCUGGAACUGCAUUUGGACUGUUAUAGCUGAGUACGGCAGAGGCGGAUGAAUUCCCGUUAGCAUGAAAAAUGCGUAGAUAUGCGGAAGAACACCGAUGGGCGAAGGCAAUCCCCUGGAACCUGCACUGACGCUCAUGCACGAGAAGCGUGGGAGCAAACAGGAUUAGAUACCUGGUAGUCCACGCCCUAAACGAUGUCAACUGGUUGUUGGUCUUCACUGACUCAGUAACGAAGCUAACGCGUGAAUUGACCGCCUGGGAGUACGGCCGCAAGGUUGAAAAACUCAAAGGAAUUGACGGAACCCGCACAACGGUGGAUGAUGUGGUUUAAUUCGAUGCAACGCGAAAAAACCUUACCCACCUUUGACAUGUACGGAAUCCUUUAGAAUAGGAGUGCUCGAAAGAGAACCCGUAACACAGGUGCUGCAUGGCUGUCGUCAGCUCGUGUCGUGAGAUGUUGGGUUAAGUCCCGCAACGAGCGCAACCCUUGUCAUUAGUUGCUACAAAAAAAAAAAACUGCCAGGUGACAAACCGGAGGAAGGUGGGGAUGACGUCAAGUCCUCAUGGCCCUUAUAGGUGGGGCUACACACGUCAUACAAUGGCUGGUACAAGGUUUGCCAACCCGCGAGGGGAGCCAAUCCAUAAAGCCAGUCGUAGUCCGGAUCGCAGUCUGCAACUCGACUGCGUGAAGUCGGAAUCGCUAGUAAUCGCGGAUCAGCAUGUCACGGUGAAUACGUUCCCGGGUCUUGUACACACCGCCCGUCACACCAGGGAGCGGGUCUCGCCAGAAGUAGUAGCCCUAACCGCAAGGAGGGCGAUUACCACGGCGGGUUCGUGACUGGGGUGAAGUCGUAACAAGGUAGCCGUAUCGGAAGGUGCGGCUG
rnacentral:rRNA from 1 species